CGCAAUGAGAGCUUUCCAGAUUUACUCUCUUAGCAACUUUCAAAUAUGCACUACAGUGUUACUAGCUAUAGUCACCGUGCUGGGCAUUACAUUCCCAGGGCUAAUUUAUUUUAU